AUAAGGAUUGACAGAUUGAUAGCUCUUUCAUGAUUUAGUGGUUGGUGGUGCAUGGCCGUUCUUAGUUCGUGGAUAUGAUUUGUCUGGUUGAUUCCGAUAACGAGCGAGACUUUUAUGUUAUAUUAAAUAUUAUUAUUUUGUUUAUUUUAAUAUAAAUAAUUAAUAUUUUAAUAACAGAUUAAUAGUGUUUAACUAUUUGAGAGAGAGCGAUAACAGGUCUGUGAUGCCCUUAGAUGUCCGGGGCUGCACGCGCGCUACAAUGUAGUGAUCAUUAUGUU
rnacentral:rRNA from 1 species